rnacentral:tRNA from 1 species
UCCCCCUUAGUUCAGUCGGUAGAACGGCGGACUGUUAAUCCGUAUGUCGCUGGCGGGAGGCCGCCCCGUCCAAGUCCAGCAGGGGGAGCCA